rnacentral:rRNA from 2 species
CUAUACAUGCAAGUCGAACGAACUCUGGUAUUGAUUGGUGCUUGCAUCAUGAUUUACAUUUGAGUGAGUGGCGAACUGGUGAGUAACACGUGGGAAACCUGCCCAGAAGCGGGGGAUAACACCUGGAAACAGAUGCUAAUACCGCAUAACAACUUGGACCGCAUGGUCCGAGCUUGAAAGAUGGCUUCGGCUAUCACUUUUGGAUGGUCCCGCGGCGUAUUAGCUAGAUGGUGGGGUAACGGCUCACCAUGGCAAUGAUACGUAGCCGACCUGAGAGGGUAAUCGGCCACAUUGGGACUGAGACACGGCCCAAACUCCUACGGGAGGCAGCAGUAGGGAAUCUUCCACAAUGGACGAAAGUCUGAUGGAGCAACGCCGCGUGAGUGAAGAAGGGUUUCGGCUCGUAAAACUCUGUUGUUAAAGAAGAACAUAUCUGAGAGUAACUGUUCAGGUAUUGACGGUAUUUAACCAGAAAGCCACGGCUAACUACGUGCCAGCAGCCGCGGUAAUACGUAGGUGGCAAGCGUUGUCCGGAUUUAUUGGGCGUAAAGCGAGCGCAGGCGGUUUUUUAAGUCUGAUGUGAAAGCCUUCGGCUCAACCGAAGAAGUGCAUCGGAAACUGGGAAACUUGAGUGCAGAAGAGGACAGUGGAACUCCAUGUGUAGCGGUGAAAUGCGUAGAUAUAUGGAAGAACACCAGUGGCGAAGGCGGCUGUCUGGUCUGUAACUGACGCUGAGGCUCGAAAGUAUGGGUAGCAAACAGGAUUAGAUACCCUGGUAGUCCAUACCGUAAACGAUGAAUGCUAAGUGUUGGAGGGUUUCCGCCCUUCAGUGCUGCAGCUAACGCAUUAAGCAUUCCGCCUGGGGAGUACGGCCGCAAGGCUGAAACUCAAAGGAAUUGACGGGGGCCCGCACAAGCGGUGGAGCAUGUGGUUUAAUUCGAAGCUACGCGAAGAACCUUACCAGGUCUUGACAUACUAUGCAAAUCUAAGAGAUUAGACGUUCCCUUCGGGGACAUGGAUACAGGUGGUGCAUGGUUGUCGUCAGCUCGUGUCGUGAGAUGUUGGGUUAAGUCCCGCAACGAGCGCAACCCUUAUUAUCAGUUGCCAGCAUUAAGUUGGGCACUCUGGUGAGACUGCCGGUGACAAACCGGAGGAAGGUGGGGAUGACGUCAAAUCAUCAUGCCCCUUAUGACCUGGGCUACACACGUGCUACAAUGGAUGGUACAACGAGUUGCGAACUCGCGAGAGUAAGCUAAUCUCUUAAAGCCAUUCUCAGUUCGGAUUGUAGGCUGCAACUCGCCUACAUGAAGUCGGAAUCGCUAGUAAUCGCGGAUCAGCAUGCCGCGGUGAAUACGUUCCCGGGCCUUGUACACACCGCCCGUCACACCAUGAGAGUUUGUAACACCCAAAGUCGGUGGGGUAACCUUUUAGGAACCAGCCGCCUAA